rnacentral:rRNA from 1 species
AUUGAGCGCUGGCGGAAUGCUUUACACAUGCAAGUCGAGCGGCAGCACGGGGGCAACCCUGGUGGCGAGCGGCGAACGGGUGAGUAAUACAUCGGAACAUGCCCAGUCGUGGGGGAUAACACUUCGAAAGAAGUGCUAAUACCGCAUACGUCCUGAGGGAGAAAGCGGGGGAUCUUCGGACCUCGCGCGAUUGGAGUGGCCGAUGUCAGAUUAGCUAGUUGGUGGGGUAAAGGCCUACCAAGGCAACGAUCUGUAGCUGGUCUGAGAGGAUGAUCAGCCACACUGGGACGGAGACACGGCCCAGACUCCUACGGGAGGCAGCAGUGGGGAAUUUUGGACAAUGGGGGCAACCCUGAUCCAGCCAUUCCGCGUGAGUGAAGAAGGCCUUCGGGUUGUAAAGCUCUUUCGGCAGGAAUGAAACGGCGAGCUCUAACAUAGCUUGCUAAUGACGGUACCUGAAGAAGAAGCACCGGCUAACUACGUGCCAGCCGCCGCGGUAAGAC